UACGAAGGGUGCAAGCGUUACUCGGAAUUACUGGGCGUAAAGCGUGCGUAGGUGGUUGUUUAAGUCUGUUGUGAAAGCCCUGGGCUCAACCUGGGAAUUGCAGUGGAUACUGGGCAACUAGAGUGUGGUAGAGGGUAGUGGAAUUCCCGGUGUAGCAGUGAAAUGCGUAGAGAUCGGGAGGAACAUCCAUGGCGAAGGCAGCUACCUGGACCAACACUGACACUGAGGCA
rnacentral:rRNA from 1 species